UGGGGAAUAUUGCACAAUGGUCGCAAGCCUGAUGCAGCCAUGCCGCGUGUGUGAAGAAGGCCUUCGGGUUGUAAAGCACUUUCAGCGGGGAGGAAGGCGUUAAGGUUAAUAACCUUGGCGAUUUACGUUACCCGCAGAAGAAGCACCGGCUAACUCCGUGCUAGCAGCCGCGGUAAUACGGAGGGUGCAAGCGUUAAUCGGAAUUACUGGGCGUAAAGCGCACGCAGGCGGUCUGUCAAGUCGGAUGUGAAAUCCCCGGGCUCAACCUGGGAACUGCAUUCGAAACUGGCAGGCUAGAGUCGUGUAGAGGGGGGUAGAAUUCCAGGUGUAGCGGUGAAAUGCGUAGAGAUCUGGAGGAAUACCGGUGGCGAAGGCGGCCCCCUGGACAAAGACUGACGCUCAGGUGCGAAAGCGUGGGGAGCAAACAGG
rnacentral:rRNA from 1 species